GAUUGAAUAAAAACUCAAGAAUGGACGGAUGGACCAAUUUGGGUAAUUUUGGACUUGAAUUAUUUGUCGAAGUCCAGAGAAGGUUUUAAAGCUCUGAUGACGCGAGAAAUAUAGAUAUAGAAAAUAAAUACAUUACUCUGUAAGAAUAGCUUUCUUUAAGGAGCGAUAGAUCAACAGAUCAACAAUUCAAAUGGGGAAGUCGAUAAGUAUUGUUCUCACAAUUCGCGUGUGGAUGGAACUAGUGUCCAAUAAUUACAAAUGUUCCUUUAUCAGAACAAAAAUUUAGCAAGAUGUUUAAUUCACCUACCAUUUACGAAGUGGCUGUUGUUACUGUGGGAGAAAGUUUAUAAUCUAGAGAGAUUAUGCUACAUCGUCGGAAAAAUUAAUUAAACAACAACAACAACAACGCUCUACACCAAUGGACUUAUGAUGCGUUUGCAAUGUGAUUUCAUCUUCUGACAAGGAUAAAAGGAUACCAUAUUAAUAUC